rfam:Eimeria brunetti, Houghton, WGS project CBTX01000000 data, contig: Ebh_contig453_12
AAACUUACUUGGCUGGCGCUCGGGGUGGCUCCUGCAUCACCCUGUCGUAGCUAUGAGCAGCGCAUUGCACUCAGCGGCCUGUGAUUGGCUAGGCCCGCCCCUAGAGGGUGGCUCCACAGCAGAAUUUCUGGUCAGCAGCUCGUGUUCGCGCGGCUGCUAA